CCGGUUUGGGUGUGGCCGCAUGGCGUGCUGUGGUGCAGGUGGCCGAAGGGGGCGUUACUGUUGCGACUGGCAUCCGCAUCCGGCAGAUGUAGAUGGAACCAAAGUCCAGAAGUUACGCGUCACCCUUGCUCUACAGCCAAACAUGCAGGACUCUAGUAACCCGCGAAAUGAUGGGAUAGCGUUGCAAAUCCUUAAAAGAGUCUUAACGAAAUCCUGGCUGACAUUGACUUCUCCACUGCAACCAUCGAGUUCAUUGUCUCCUAAACCUUGCCAUGGAGGCCUGUGGCACCUGAGCCAGCCAUUAUCAUCACCAGCACUUCCAUGAGCUACAAGCUGGACCCACUGCAGUCCUCCUGACACACUGAAAUCAGAGCCUGCACACAGAGCAGCAGAUGCUUCAAUGUAAAGGUCAUUUCCAGGUCCUUGACAGGCGUGCAUCUGGGCCAGAUCCAUGGCAAUAACCUUCAGGUUGAGGCUAGAGGGCUUCAGAUGGGCAGCUUCGAAUGACAGGAGCAAGGCACAAGAGGCCGGAAAGGGAGGGUGACAUUUUCAGCAUCUAUAAGAUCAACUUUAGAAACAUUUGGGGGUUGACAAAUUCCCAUCAAGCUCUGUGGAUCUUGUACAACUGCUCACCACCGGCUUCUCAUCAGCACAUGAUUGGUGCAGGGUUCUGAGGAUGAUUUUGAGAUGUUCCCUGAUGUGGUCUUGUGAGGAGAUUUCAUGACAGAUGGCAGGAAGCUUCGUGGAGAGAUUUCUGAAGACACUCCUGAGCUCCCAACACCGGGCAACUCUCUUCCAGAGGAUAGUGGGGUGGAGGGUAGAAGAGAGGCAAAGUCAGGUUUGUCCUUCGGAUCCCCUUCAUUCUCCUUUUGCCACCGUAAACCAACUUUUGCUUACAGUUAGACACCAGUUUUCGGCAGAUGAAAUCCCUCUGAUUUCAGGCAUUUUGUCAAUUAAGCUGCUCAGCAACAAUAGGAUAAACUUAUGAAAAGAAAGGAGUAGCAGUCCCACAGACAAAGCAUCCAGCCCCUGCACUGAGACAGUAUAGGGAAGGGACUUGGUCCUGGCAGACAGGACAGAUAAUCAACAUCCUAGUGGGCCUUACACAUGUGGGCAUAUUCUUUUCCAUACCUUCUUGUCUGUUUUAACAAGCUAACCCCAGUCACAGUAGCAGAGAGAGGGUCCAUCCUAACUUAGCUGACCAGGCUGGAUUCCUAAUCAUAAAACCAAAAAAGGAAGAACCUAACCAUUUCUCUCUUUCAGCUAUGUGUUCCAAGAUUACUGAAGCAGGAUUCUGGCCUUCCUGAUAAGAACAUGACCAGAUCCAGCUGGUUUGCAACAAGAUGAACUUCAGUGCUGAGCUUUCACCAAGUUUUUCUCACUACAAUCUCAUUGUAAUACUAAAAUCUCCACCCAAGAUGGAGGUUAUCUGCCAUUUUCUGUACAUGUGUUACCAGAAAGGGGUCCUGAUCCAGACCCCAAAAGAGGGUUCUUGGAUCUCACGCAACAAAGAGUUCGGGGCGAGUCCAUAGAGUAAAGUGAAAGCAAGUUCAUCAAGAAAGCAAAGGAAUAAAGAAUGCCUACUCCAUAGGCAGAGCAGUGGCUUUGGCUGCUCAGCUGCUUGUACUUGUUACUUCUUGAGUAUAUGCUAAACAAGGGAUUGAUUACUCCUUGUUUAGCAGUUUUCUGGGAAAGGAGUGGGCAAUUCCCAGAACUGAGGGUUCCUCCCCUUUUUAGACCAUAUAGGGUGACUUCCUGAUGUUGCCAUGGCAUUUGUAAACUGUCAUGGCGCUAGUGGGAGUGUCUUUUAGCAUGCUAAUGCAUGAGCAGUGAGGAUGACCCGAGGUCAUUUUUGUUACCAUCUUGGUUUUGGUGGGUUUUGGCUGGUUUUGGCCGGCUUCUUUACCACUUCUUUUUAUCAGCAAGGUCUUUGUGACCUGUACUUAGUGCCGACUUCCUGUCUCAUCCUGUGAGUAAGAAUGCCUAAUCUCUCAGGAAUGCAGCCCAGUAGGUCUCAACCUUAUUUUACCCAGCCCCCAUUCAAGAUGGAGUGACUCUGGUUCAAAUGCCUCUGACACAUGUGCCUCAUGUUUGGGCAUGAGACCUCACUGUGUAGGUGCAGAGAAGACCCUGCCUAAACAUUGCCUACACGUUGCUCCUUUUUCCUGCCUCAACUUCCUUAAAAUGACAAGAGCAGAGCCCUUUUGGGAGCUAACAUCAGGACUCCUUUUCUGUACUCUGCUCCGUUGUGCUGCUAGAGCCACAAGCCUAUUAAACUUUGCCUGAAAUAAAUUCCUAUUUGCGCUGGUGUUAAUUUUUACUUAUGAGUGAGCCAAGAACUCAGGCCAGAGUUGCGGUAACACCACCAGAAGAGGUCUCCGCUUGUCAGACUUGAGGGAUAUCAUCAAUGAGCCUCUGAGCUAAUGGUGUAAACCAAAAAUAAAAUUCUAAGCCCCCCGCCAGCCAAACCAUCUGAAUGGACUUCCUCCUCAGCCAGGGUGCUCUUAAAAUUUAACCUGAGAGACUGGUUCAGGUCAUGAUGGGAAGUAGGGGUUGGACAUGCCUCAUUAUACCUCUCCAGCAUUAACAUCAACAUAAACCCUAAGUCUAAGAAAUUUUUACAACCUAUUCUCUCUGAAGCUGACUACCUUGGAGGCUUCAUCUGUUUCAUAAAAUUUUGGUCUCCACAACCUCUUACUUCAACCCAGAUAUUUCCUUUCUAUUGAUCCCAGGUCUUUAGAUAAACUUAACCAAUUGUCAACCAAAAAAUUUUUAAAUCUGCCUAUAAACUGGAAGCUCCGCACUCCGCUCCCCUCCCCUCCCCGCCCUUCGAGUUGUCCUGCCUUUCUGGACAGAACCAAUGUAUUUCUUAAAUGUACUUGAAGUCUCAUGUCUCCCUAAAAUGUAUAAAACCCAGCUGCUCCCUGACCACCUUGGGUACAUGUUUUCAGGGUCUCCUGAGGGCUGUGUCAUGGGUUA
rnacentral:lncRNA from 10 species